UACGGAGGGAGCUAGCGUUGUUCGGAAUUACUGGGCGUAAAGCGCACGUAGGCGGCGAUUCAAGUCAGAGGUGAAAGCCCGGGGCUCAACCCCGGAACUGCCUUUGAAACUAGAUUGCUAGAAUCCUGGAGAGGUGAGUGGAAUCCGAGUGUAGAGGUGAAAUUCGUAGAUAUUCGGAAGAACACCAGUGGCGAAGGCGACUCACUGGACAGGUAUUGACGCUGAGGUGCGAAAGCGUGGGGAGCAAACAGG
rnacentral:rRNA from 1 species